CUGAAAUCAAUCUAAAUGGCAAUUGAUUGAGGAUAUCUAUAACUAAUCAACAACUCCAUGACAUUAUUCAAUGCGAAGAGCUGUGGCCAGGCACAGGGACAGAGGAUCCCUCCCCAGUUCAUUAAUUAAUUCGUUGAUCGGUGGAGAUCCAGGAAGAGACCAGGUGGGGUAUAAGAGGGAGAUUAAAAAAAUGAACAGGAGAUGUCCAAGGGAGAAGAACCUUAACAUCGAACCACUUUUCUUUCUUCAACAAACAAAGAAACCCCACAACUUGCACGCCAAAUUGGCAAUGCCAUGCCACACUUGUCCUCAAAUAAUACUUCACACCCGCGGUAUGUGCAGUGCACUGCAUCCAUCCCAAUUAAUUAAUUAUAACACCCCUCUCAAAGCUCUUCUCUUUCUCUCUCUCUCUCCCUUCCUCCAACGGAUUCAAGCACAGGAAACUCAAAGACAGAUCUCAAAGUCAAACCUGCAAGUAACGAUCGAGUAUGAGUUCAGAGUGUCGAAUAGAAAAGAAUCAGAUUCGUUUCGAAGCUCAUUAGACAGUGUUAAUAUAAUUAACUGAUCUGAUGGAAAGCAGAGAGAAGAGAAUGCAUCAUCCACUACGAGAGCCUCAUCACGAGCACAGAGAGUCCUCUCCUUCGAACUAUUUCAGCGUGGAAACGUUUCUGGUUCUUGGCCUACUGACCUUGUCUCUCCUGGUGCUCCCUCUCAUACUGCCGCCGUUGCCGCCGCCACCUUCGAUGCUACUGCUGCUUCCUCUAGGCAUACUUGUUGUGUUAAUGAUUUCGGCUUUCAUGCCCUCGGGCAGAAGAAACAUGGCUUCCUCUCAUCUGUAAAUAUCGAUCGGAUCAUAGUGAUCGACUUUAAUUUGCACAAUAAAUACUUUUUUUUGGCGAUAAA